GAGUAGAGAUACUUUGAGCCCACCGUCACCAAUAUUCACCUCGUCUGCCCAAGUCCACCUUUCGCCAUGAAGGGCCACUCCUCUACGGUAGCAGGGAUGACCAGGACGCGGUGACGCCCAUGGACUGACACUUGUCACACUCCACAAACGAUCCUACCUACAGAGCGGUGGCGCGGGUGGGCACCGGCAAUGAAGAGGGCAUGCUGCAUAUCGACGCUCUUCUUUUGACUACAUGUUCAACCUCGGCCGACAGUGUCAUAAACCGCGUCUUCAACCUCCGUCGUGACCCUUCCUCUCAGACGACAAGCUUGCCACCUUCUCGCUGCUAGACAAAAGUUCACCAGAGAAAAAUGAUCCCAUCACCGGGAUCAACACCGCAGGGUCGUUGACUUGGUUGAUCUCUUCGAUGUAACUGAAAUUGGUGGGUCCAUGUGGUUGGAGAGCACGUUUCUCUGGGAUCUUGAUGCUAUCGUGCUCAUUGUACACGCUCGCGUGAUGGUGCUUGACUCCUUGGAGCAGGCUGGCAACCACCGCCUGUUGGACAAAUUUCAGAAACUUUGUACGAAGCUGGUGCACAUAGGUUCUGGGUUUGUACGAAGCUGGUGCACAUAGCCUUUGUUCAGGUAAAUUAGACAGGCAUGCGGACUAUAGUAAAUAUUGAUAGGAGUACAAGCAUUGGAGGAGUACUCAGUACUCACCAUGUUCGAUGAAGUCGUGGUGGUGGUGGUUGAGGAAGUCGUAGGUAAC